ACCUACGGGGCGCAGCAGUGAGGAAUAUUGGUCAAUGGUCGGGAGACUGAACCAGCCAAGCCGCGUGAGGGAGGAAGGUACAGAGUAUCGUAAACCUCUUUUGUCAGGGAACAAAGACUGGGACGCGUCCCCGGAUGAGUGUACCUGAAGAAAAAGCAUCGGCUAACUCCGUGCCAGCAGCCGCGGUAAUACGGAGGAUGCGAGCGUUAUCCGGAUUCAUUGGGUUUAAAGGGUGCGCAGGCGGGCCUUUAAGCCGGCGGUGAAAUCGCGGGGCUCAACCCCGCCGAGCC
rnacentral:rRNA from 1 species